rnacentral:rRNA from 1 species
GACGAACGCUGGCGGCGUGCUUAACACAUGCAAGUCGAGCGGAAAGGCCCUGCUUUUGUGGGGUGCUCGAGUGGCGAACGGGUGAGUAACACGUGAGUAACCUGCCCUUGACUUUGGGAUAACUUCAGGAAACUGGGGCUAAUACCGGAUAGGAGCUCCUGCUGCAUGGUGGGGGUUGGAAAGUUUCGGCGGUUGGGGAUGGACUCGCGGCUUAUCAGCUUGUUGGUGGGGUAGUGGCUUACCAAGGCUUUGACGGGUAGCCGGCCUGAGAGGGUGACCGGCCACAUUGGGACUGAGAUACGGCCCAGACUCCUACGGGAGGCGGCAGUGGGGAAUAUUGCACAAUGGGCGGAAGCCUGAUGCAGCAACGCCGCGUGCGGGAUGACGGCCUUCGGGUUGUAAACCGCUUUCGCCUGUGACGAAGCGUGAGUGACGGUAAUGGGUAAAGAAGCACCGGCUAACUACGUG